rnacentral:rRNA from 1 species
AGCAUAUCAAUAAGCGGAGGAAAAGAAACCAACAGGGAUUGCCUCAGUAACGGCGAGUGAAGCGGCAAAAGCUCAAAUUUGAAAUCUGGCUCCAUGCGGAGCCCGAGUUGUAAUUUGGAGAGGACACUUCGGGUGCGGCCACGGCAUAAGUUCCUUGGAACAGGACGUCAUAGAGGGUGAGAAUCCCGUCUUUGGCUGCUGGACCGCGCCCAUGCGAAGUUCCUUCGACGAGUCGAGUUGUUUGGGAAUGCAGCUCUAAGUGGGUGGUAAAUUUCAUCUAAAGCUAAAUAUUGGCCGGAGACCGAUAGCGCACAAGUAGAGUGAUCGAAAGGUUAAAAGCACCUUGAAAAGGGAGUUAAAUAGCACGUGAAAUUGUUGAAAGGGAAGCGCUUGCAACCAGACUCGGUCGUGGGGGCUCAGCGGGCAUGCGUGCCCGUGUACUCCCCCAUGCUCCGGGCCAGCAUCAGUUCUGGCGGUUGGUUAAAGGCCUCUGGAAUGUAUCGUCCUCCGGGACGUCUUAUAGCCAGGGGCGCAAUGCGGCCAGCCGGGACUGAGGAACGCGCUUCGGCACGGAUGCUGGCAUAAUGGUUGUAAGCGGCCCGUCUUGAAACACGGACCAAGGAGUCUAACAUCCACGCGAGUGUUCGGGUGUCAAACCCGUGCGCGCAGUGAAAGCGAACGGAGGUGGGAGCCCGCAAGGGUGCACCAUCGACCGAUCCUGAAGUCUUCGGAUGGAUUUGAGUAAGAGCGUGGCUGUUGGGACCCGAAAGAUGGUGAACUAUGCCUGAAUAGGGUGAAGCCAGAGGAAACUCUGGUGGAGGCUCGCAGCGGUUCUGACGUGCAAAUCGAUCGUCAAAUUUGGGUAUAGGGGCGAAAGACUAAUCGAACCAUCUGGUAGCUGGUUCCUGCCGA